UACGUAGGGUGCAAGCGUUGUCCGGAAUUAUUGGGCGUAAAGAGCUCGUAGGCGGUCUGUUGCGUCGGCUGUGAAAACCCGGGGCUCAACUCCGGGCCUGCAGCCGAUACGGGCAGACUAGAGUUCGGCAGGGGAGACUGGAAUUCCUGGUGUAGCGGUGAAAUGCGCAGAUAUCAGGAGGAACACCGGUGGCGAAGGCGGUUCUCUGGGCAUGAUCUGACGCUGAGGAGCGAAAGUGUGGGGAGCGAACAGG
rnacentral:rRNA from 1 species